AACAGAGGCAGCUGCUCCAAAAGAAAAGGCCAAACCAGUUGUUCUGGCUAAAGAACCAGAAGUCGCUCCGAAAAAUGUUUCUCUGGUCAAAGAGAAAGUCAAAGUAGUCCCAAUCAAGAGAGUGCAAAAACACAGAGUCAGAGCAGUUUCUGCCAAGAUCGCUGAGGUUCCAAAACCAAAGCCGAAACCGACCCCGGUUAUUAAAGAAGCUGAGGCUCCACACAAAAAUGUGUCUCUGACCAAAGAAAAGGUGAAGGUCACACCACUGAAGAAAGUGCCUGUGACCCCAAAAGAGAAAAUCAAAGCAGCACCAGCAAUAAAAGAAGCUGAAGUUCUCAAGGAGAAAAAGGCAGGGCCAGUUGCCAAAAAAGUACCUGUUACCAAAGUGAAACGUACACCACCUGAAAAGAAGAAAGAACCUGAGGCCAAACCAGUCCAUGCCAAAAAAGAAGUUACAAAGGAGAAGCCUAAAGCAGCCCCUGAAAAGAAAGAGCCUGUAGCAAGAAAAGAAAAGCUCAAACCACACCUUAAGAAAAAAGGUACUCUGGCUUGAACAUUUGCAUGCAGAUUCUUAUGUUAGAGCUGCAAAAAUGUUUAAAUCUGCAAAUGGCAUUAAAUUAAUAUGAAGAUAUGCCUUACUCCUAUUUACUCAGAGCCUAAAGUCCUAAAGAAGAAAGUCAAACCGAUUCUUACAAAAGGUACAAUGUAAAAAAAAAUAAUGUUAAUGAAUGGAUUAAUUUCUUAAUGUAGGAAUAAACAGCUGUUUUGUGGUGAAUUUUCCUAUAUGUUUUCUAACUACAGACUAUAAAUAAGUUAAUCCAUUACAUUUUUUUCUUUGAUGGCUCAGCUGCAUUGAGGAUAAAGCGCAGGCCUGUUCGUAUGAAGAAAGGUACAUUAGUAAAAAUAUAACAUGUAUGAAGGAGCAACAGAUCUGGACACGAAAUGAAACAAGCCUUUUGCCUAUGAGAAACCACAGCAGGUCCAUAGGCAAACACCUGUUUCUGUCCAAUGAUCCUAGGAAUAUGCUUAUGUGGACAUCAGUUAAUGAAGCUACUUGAUAGAUGAUAGGCCUUCAAAGUAAAAGCCCAAACCAGCAUUAAUACUGAUUUUGAUUCUCUGGAUAACUGACAUGUUAUUGCAGAGUUUCUUGCACUGACCAAAGCUGCUUUAUGCUCUGCCAGCUGCUUAGAGGUAGCCACGCAGUGAUUCGAGCUGCAUUACGAAUCACAUAAAAAUGAGCUGAUCACAGUUUCAGCCUGUUUGUCCAUGUCUGACCACACUUUUUUUUUUUUUACAGAACUGGAGACUCUUAAAGAGAGGCACAAAGCUGCUGCAGUGAAGAAAGGUAUGAUGAUGACAUUCAGGCUUCAUAUUCUUAUCA
rnacentral:lncRNA from 1 species